GACGUAGGGCGCGAGCGUUGUCCGGAUUUAUUGGGCGUAAAGAGCUCGUAGGCGGUCCGUCACGUCGGUUGUGAAAACCCAAGGCUCAACCUUGGGCCUGCAAUCGAUACGGGCGGACUAGAGUACUGCAGGGGAGACUGGAAUUCCUGGUGUAGCGGUGAAAUGCGCAGAUAUCAGGAAGAACACCGGUGGCGAAGGCGGGUCUCUGGGCAGUAACUGACGCUGAGGAGCGAAAGCGUGGGGAGCGAACAGG
rnacentral:rRNA from 1 species